GGAAACGGGUUAAUAUUCCCGUACUUCUUAUGAAUGCGAUGGGGGGACGGAGAAGGCUAGGUGGGCCAGGCGACGGUUGUCCUGGUUCAAGUGCGUAGGCUAAGAGACUAGGUAAAUCCGGUUUCUUGUUAGGCUGAGACACGACGUCGAGCUACUACGGUAGUGAAGUCAUUGAUGCCCUGCUUCCAGGAAAAGCCUCUAAGCUUCAGUUCAUAAGAAAUCGUACCCCAAACCGACACAGGUGGUCGGGUAGAGAAUACCAAGGCGCUUGAGAGAACUCGGGUGAAGGAACUAGGCAAAAUGGUACCGUAACUUCGGGAGAAGGUACGCUCUUGACGGUGAAGUCCCUUGCGGAUGGAGCUAUUGAGAGUCGCAGAUACCAGGUGGCUGCAACUGUUUAUUAAAAACACAGCACUGUGCAAAAUCGCAAGAUGACGUAUACGGUGUGACGCCUGCCCGGUGCCGGAAGGUUAAUUGAUGGGGUUAGACGCAAGUCGAAGCUCUUGAUCGAAGCCCCGGUAAACGGCGGCCGUAACUAUAACGGUCCUAAGGUAGCGAAAUUCCUUGUCGGGUAAGUUCCGACCUGCACGAAUGGCGUAAUGAUGGCCACGCUGUCUCCACCCGAGACUCAGUGAAAUUGAAAUCGCUGUGAAGAUGCAGUGUACCCGCGGCUAGACGGAAAGACCCCGUGAACCUUUACUACAGCUUGGCACUGAACAUUGAACCUACAUGUGUAGGAUAGGUGGGAGACUUUGAAGCGCAGACGCUAGUUUGCGUGGAGUCAACCUUGAAAUACCACCCUUGUAGUUUUGAUGUUCUAACGUUGGCCCCUAAUCGGGGUUGCGGACAGUGCCUGGUGGGUAGUUUGACUGGGGCGGUCUCCUCCCAAAGAGUAACGGAGGAGCACGAAG
rnacentral:rRNA from 1 species